rnacentral:rRNA from 1 species
UCGUCACACUAUCAUUAACUGAAUCCAUAGGUUAAUGAGGCGAACCGGGGGAACUGAAACAUCUAAGUACCCCGAGGAAAAGAAAUCAACCGAGAUUCCCCCAGUAGCGGCGAGCGAACGGGGAGGAGCCCAGAGCCUGAAUCAGCAUGUGUGUUAGUGGAAGCGUCUGGAAAGGCGCGCGAUACAGGGUGACAGCCCCGUACACAAAAGCGCAUGUGCUGUGAGCUCGAUGAGUAGGGCGGGACACGUGGUAUCCUGUCUGAAUAUGGGGGGACCAUCCUCCAAGGCUAAAUACUCCUGACUGACCGAUAGUGAACCAGUACCGUGAGGGAAAGGCGAAAAGAACCCCGGCGAGGGGAGUGAAAAAGAACCUGAAACCGUGUACGUACAAGCAGUGGGAGCACCCUUUGGGUGUGACUGCGUACCUUUUGUAUAAUGGGUCAGCGACUUAUAUUCUGUAGCAAGGUUAACCGAAUAGGGGAGCCGGAGGGAAACCGAGUCUUAACCGGGCGUUAAGUUGCAGGGUAUAGACCCGAAACCCGGUGAUCUAGCCAUGGGCAGGUUGAAGGUUGGGUAACACUAACUGGAGGACCGAACCGACUAAUGUUGAAAAAUUAGCGGAUGACCUGUGGCUGGGGGUGAAAGGCCAAUCAAACCGGGAGAUAGCUGGUUCUCCCCGAAAGCUAUUUAGGUAGCGCCUCGUGAAUUCAUCUCCGGGGGUAGAGCACUGUUUCGGCUAGGGGGCCAUCCCGGCUUACCAACCCGAUGCAAACUGCGAAUACCGGAGAAUGUUAUCACGGGAGACACACGGCGGGUGCUAACGUCCGUCGUGAAGAGGGAAACAACCCAGACCGCCAGCUAAGGUCCCAAAGUCAUGGUUAAGUGGGAAACGAUGUGGGAAGGCCCAGACAGCCAGGAUGUUGGCUUAGAAGCAGCCAUCAUUUAAAGAAAGCGUAAUAGCUCACUGGUCGAGUCGGCCUGCGCGGAAGAUGUAACGGGGCUAAACCAUGCACCGAAGCUGCGGCAGCGACACUGUGUGUUGUUGGGUAGGGGAGCGUUCUGUAAGCCUGUGAAGGUGUGUCGUGAGGCAUGCUGGAGGUAUCAGAAGUGCGAAUGCUGACAUAAGUAACGAUAAAGCGGGUGAAAAGCCCGCUCGCCGGAAGACCAAGGGUUCCUGUCCAACGUUAAUCGGGGCAGGGUGAGUCGACCCCUAAGGCGAGGCCGAAAGGCGUAGUCGAUGGGAAACGGGUUAAUAUUCCCGUACUUGGUGUUACUGCGAAGGGGGGACGGAGAAGGCUAUGUUGGCCGGGCGACGGUUGUCCCGGUUUAAGCGUGUAGGUGUGUGUUCCAGGUAAAUCCGGUUCACUUUAACACUGAGGCGUGACGACGAGGCACUACGGUGCUGAAGCAACAAAUGCCCUGCUUCCAGGAAAAGCCUCUAAGCAUCAGGUAACAUCAAAUCGUACCCCAAACCGACACAGGUGGUCAGGUAGAGAAUACCAAGGCGCUUGAGAGAACUCGGGUGAAGGAACUAGGCAAAAUGGUGCCGUAACUUCGGGAGAAGGCACGCUGACACGUAGGUGAAGUGAUUUACUCAUGGAGCUGAAGUCAGUCGAAGAUACCAGCUGGCUGCAACUGUUUAUUAAAAACACAGCACUGUGCAAACACGAAAGUGGACGUAUACGGUGUGACGCCUGCCCGGUGCCGGAAGGUUAAUUGAUGGGGUCAGCGCAAGCGAAGCUCCUGAUCGAAGCCCCGGUAAACGGCGGCCGUAACUAUAACGGUCCUAAGGUAGCGAAAUUCCUUGUCGGGUAAGUUCCGACCUGCACGAAUGGCGUAAUGAUGGCCAGGCUGUCUCCACCCGAGACUCAGUGAAAUUGAACUCGCUGUGAAGAUGCAGUGUACCCGCGGCAAGACGGAAAGACCCCGUGAACCUUUACUAUAGCUUGACACUGAACAUUGAGCCUUGAUGUGUAGGAUAGGUGGGAGGCUUUGAAGUGUGGACGCCAGUCUGCAUGGAGCCGACCUUGAAAUACCACCCUUUAAUGUUUGAUGUUCUAACGUGGACCCGUUACCCGGGUUGCGGACAGUGUCUGGUGGGUAGUUUGACUGGGGCGGUCUCCUCCUAAAGAGUAACGGAGGAGCACGAAGGUUGGCUAAUCCUGGUCGGACAUCAGGAGGUUAGUGCAAUGGCAUAAGCCAGCUUGACUGCGAGCGUGACGGCGCGAGCAGGUGCGAAAGCAGGUCAUAGUGAUCCGGUGGUUCUGAAUGGAAGGGCCAUCGCUCAACGGAUAAAAGGUACUCCGGGGAUAACAGGCUGAUACCGCCCAAGAGUUCAUAUCGACGGCGGUGUUUGGCACCUCGAUGUCGGCUCAUCACAUCCUGGGGCUGAAGUAGGUCCCAAGGGUAUGGCUGUUCGCCAUUUAAAGUGGUACGCGAGCUGGGUUUAGAACGUCGUGAGACAGUUCGGUCCCUAUCUGCCGUGGGCGCUGGAGAACUGAGGGGGGCUGCUCCUAGUACGAGAGGACCGGAGUGGACGCAUCACUGGUGUUCGGGUUGUCAUGCCAAUGGCACUGCCCGGUAGCUAAAUGCGGAAGAGAUAAGUGCUGAAAGCAUCUAAGCACGAAACUUGCCCCGAGAUGAGUUCUCCCUGAGACUUAAAGUCUCCUGAAGGAACGUUGAAGACGACGACGUUGAUAGGC